CUGUCACAUGAAGUAGGACAAGUGAGAUUGAUUUUCACUGGUACCUUUGCAGUAUGUAGUUACCAUGUUGAUCGAUCUCCAUUGUUCGUGUUCGUUUUACCCUUA